rnacentral:rRNA from 1 species
AACGAACGCUGGCGGCAGGCCUAACACAUGCAAGUCGAGCGAGGACUUCGGUCCUAGCGGCGGACGGGUGAGUAACGCGUGGGAACGUGCCUUUGGCUUCGGAAUAGCCCUGGGAACCUGGGGUUAAUACCGGAGGAGCCCUUUGGGGGAAAGAUUUAUCGGCGAAGGAUCGGCCCGCGUUGGAUUAGGUAGUUGGUGGGGUAAUGGCCUACCAAGCCGACGAUCCAUAGCUGGUUUCAGAGGAUGAUCAGCCACACUGGGACUGAGACACGGCCCAGACUCCUACGGGAGGCAGCAGUGGGGAAUCUUAGACAAUGGGGGAAACCCUGAUCUAGCCAUGCCGCGUGAGCGAUGAAGGCCUUAGGGUUGUAAAGCUCUUUCAGCUGGGAAGAUAAUGACGGUACCAGCAGAAGAAGCCCCGGCUAACUCCGUG